rnacentral:tRNA from 1 species
UCUAACGUGGCAGAUAAGUGCGGUGGAUUUAAGCUCCAUAAAUAAAGGUAAAAACUUUCAUUAGAA